AUUCCAGCUCCAAUAGCGUAUAUUAAUGUUGUUGCAGUUAAAAAGCUCGUAGUCGGAUUUCGGAGUGGGUCGGCAGCUGGGCCCAAUGGUUCAUGUUGUUUGACUCGCUCUUCCUUCCGGGAGCUGAGUCUGCUAUUCAUUUAGUGGGCCCAGAAAUCGGAACUUUUACUUUGAAAAAAUUAGAGUGUUCAAAGCAGGCAUAUGCCUUGAAUAUAUUAGCAUGGAAUAAUCGAAUAGGACUUUGGUUCUAUUUCGUUGGUUUCUAGGACCGAAGUAAUGAUCAAAAGGAACAGUUUGGGAUGUUCGUACUUCGUUGUCAGAGGUGAAAUUCUAAGAUUUACGAAAGACGAACUUCUGCGAAAGCAUUCAUCAGGGAUGUUUUCAUUG
rnacentral:rRNA from 1 species